rnacentral:rRNA from 1 species
AUUGAACGCUGGCGGCAGGCCUAACACAUGCAAGUCGAGCGGAUGAGAGGAGCUUGCUCCUCGAUUCAGCGGCGGACGGGUGAGUAAUGCCUAGGAAUCUGCCCAGUAGUGGGGGACAACGUUUCGAAAGGAACGCUAAUACCGCAUACGUCCUACGGGAGAAAGUGGGGGGUCUUCGGACCUCACGCUAUUGGAUGAGCCUAGGUCGGAUUAGCUAGUUGGUAGGGUAAAGGCCUACCAAGGCGACGAUCCGUAACUGGUCUGAGAGGAUGAUCAGUCACACUGGAACUGAGACACGGUCCAGACUCCUACGGGAGGCAGCAGUGGGGAAUAUUGGACAAUGGGCACAAGCCUGAUUCAGCCAUGCCGCGUGUGUGAAGAAGGCCCUCGGGUCGUAAAGCACUUUAAGUUGGGAGGAAGGGCUUACAGCGAAUACCUGUGAGUUUUGACGUUACCGACAGAAUAAGCACCGGCUAACUUCGUGCCAGCCGCCGCGGUAA